UGCCUUUAAAAGUCCCAUAAUGCAACUCUCCCUCUCUGCUUAGUUCUGUGGGUCUGCCUCCGAGUUUCUGCAUCUGGUCUUUCGCCUCUGCUCCGUGUGGGAGAUGGACGUGUCGGUGUUGGCUCGUUCGUCGCUAGAAGGUCGGACUUUUGAAUCACCUGGUUGACUAGGAUGACUUUUUGCCUUCAAGAAUGGACUUGUAACGGUAAUUACACCUGGUUAAAAAACCUGGUUAGAAUGGGAAGUCCUUCAUAAAUCCACAGCAGGUGCUGAGAAUGAAAUGUGGACUGUGGAAAUGACAGUAGGCCUGCCAUGUCGCAUGUAGCUAGGUGCAGCUGUCUUAGAACCCUGAUGGACACAUCUAAUGCUGUGGCGUUCUGCAUUUGAUAGAUUGAGUAAAUUUGUUUAGCCUUAGUCUUUUUACAGAUCUUGUCUGUAAAAUGGAGCAUGUCGGUUCCGACUGAUUUGCCAAAUUGUCUCUGUACAAGUGCAGAUUAAUGUAUAGGCUGUGACAUACGGUCCCAAUGCCUUUUCUCAGGUACAUGUAAGCAUAUUAAAACUUCUUUAAAAUGA